UUCACAAACGAGCAGCACAAAAAGGUUCCCAAAAAAGUUUCAUUUCCUGCUUCUCCUCCUUCCCCUUCUGUAGUUUUCUUUCCCUAAAAAUAAACGCUUUUUUUCUCCGGUUCUCUGGUUCAAGGCCACAAAACUCAAAAUUCACAGCACCCACACCGAGACAAGCCGCGGCGCCGCUGCUCUUAGGAUUUCUUAGUUUUCUGAAUGUGCGUUUCUGACGUCGAAUUAUUCGUAUUGUUAAGAGUGAGGGUUCUUUCGAUUUCAAAAUUAGUGGAGAAGUUGUGUUUCUCAUUAACAAAGCUGUUGACAUGACUGAAAAUGUAGAUCAAAGACACGCAUGUUAGGGAGGUUAUGACACCACUUGUUGAUGUUGUUCAAGUCAUACGACCAUGUCUAUCUUAGGCCAGUUAGACAUCAGUUUGCAUCAGCUCCUGGUAGACUGAAGUUUAAGUGAGAACUGCCACUACGUCUGGCCAGUGUCAAGAGCUUGUCGACUUCACCUGCAAUCAAGUUCUCGUCGUUUCUACACAUUACUAUAUAUGUUUCAUUCUGCUGAAGUUUUCAGCAUACGAUCUUUUUGUGAAAUUCAUAAUUUACUUCUUGUAGGGAUGUUAAUACAAGUGAGAACUAAUGUUUUCUAGCUGAAUUUUCUCUUAUGUUUUCUAGCUGAAUUUGCAGUUCAUGUCAGUUAGAUUGCUGAGUUUGGAAUUUCUUUUAGAAGCUUCUUUUUACUGUUUGAGCAGUAUUUGAGUACAUAUAACAAAUACUUAUUUAUUGAAAUGAAUUUUUCUUUACAAUUUGAUUUUUUCUUACUAUCUAUGUGAUUCUCACUUUUUCGUGGUUACAACUGAGUUUUUGGACAAAGUUGUUAAGUUAAUCAAGCUAGCACUAUGACUUGCGUACAUCAAUCUUAGUGGCUUCAGUCUACUAUCUCAGGUACACAUUCUGAUUUUCUGUUAGUCUUUCUUUUUAAUUUCGAUAAUUCAAUGACUGAUUCCUUGACGUGUUGUAUGAGGUUUAUGUAAGCCUGGUAACAUCUGCACUUUCGUUGUUGCAAGAGCUUUGGUUUUACAGAGAGGAAAUCCACGCUUUGCAUAGCCUAGCAGUGCCGUGUUCGGUUGUUUUAUUGUGCCCAUCUGCCUUGUUCCUGGGUCAAGGUUCAAUGUGGUUUACCACUACCAGCCCUGAACACGAGUAAGUUCUGAACACGAGCUGACAAAAACAUUGGCCUUGAUGAUGUCCAUAUUUUUGUAAUAAAAGAGGCUUCACUCUUGUACUAAUUAUAUCCACCUUAAGUAAUAUCUUGAGACUUCUACAACAUGUAGAAACAAUUCAAGCUCCUCGGCCAUUGACCUCACUGGAAUCAAAAUCAUGGAAAAAAGUGUUGUAGCUGGAGAAGAAUUUUAAG